GAGUUUGAUCCUGGCUCAGGACGAACGCUGGCGGCGUGCCUAAUACAUGCAAGUAGAACGCUGAAGACUUUAGCUUGCUAAAGUUGGAAGGGUUGCGAACGGGUGAGUAACGCGUAGGUAACCUGCCUACUAGCGGGGGAUAACUAUUGGAAACGAUAGCUAAUACCGCAUAACAGCAUUUAACCCAUGUUAGAUGCUUGAAAGGAGCAAUUGCUUCACUAGUAGAUGGACCUGCGUUGUAUUAGCUAGUUGGUGAGGUAACGGCUCACCAAGGCGACGAUACGUAGCCGACCUGAGAGGGUGAUCGGCCACACUGGGACUGAGACACGGCCCAGACUCCUACGGGAGGCAGCAGUAGGGAAUCUUCGGCAAUGGGGGCAACCCUGACCGAGCAACGCCGCGUGAGUGAAGAAGGUUUUCGGAUCGUAAAGCUCUGUUGUAAGAGAAGAACGUGUGUGAGAGUGGAAAGUUCACACAGUGACGGUAACUUACCAGAAAGGGACGGCUAACUACGUGCCAGCAGCCGCGGUAAUACGUAGGUCCCGAGCGUUGUCCGGAUUUAUUGGGCGUAAAGCGAGCGCAGGCGGUUUAAUAAGUCUGAAGUUAAAGGCAGUGGCUUAACCAUUGUUCGCUUUGGAAACUGUUAGACUUGAGUGCAGAAGGGGAGAGUGGAAUUCCAUGUGUAGCGGUGAAAUGCGUAGA
rnacentral:rRNA from 1 species